UAGGGAAUCUUCCGCAAUGGGCGAAAGCUUGACGGAGCAACGCCGCGUGAGUGAUGAAGGUCUUCGGAUCGUAAAACUCUGUUAUUAGGGAAGAACAAAUGUGUAAGUAACUAUGCACGUCUUGACGGUACCUAAUCAGAAAGCCACGGCUAACUACGUGCCAGCAGCCGCGGUAAUACGUAGGUGGCAAGCGUUAUCCGGAAUUAUUGGGCGUAAAGCGCGCGUAGGCGGUAUUUUAAGUCUGAUGUGAAAGCCCGCGGCUCAACCGUGGAGGGUCAUUGGAAACUGGAAAACUUGAGUGCAGAAGAGGAAAGUGGAAUUCCAUGUGUAGCGGUGAAAUGCGCAGAGAUAUGGAGGAACACCAGUGGCGAAGGCGACUUACUGGUCUGUAACUGACGCUGAUGUGCGAAAGCGUGGGGAUCAAACAGG
rnacentral:rRNA from 1 species